GUGGCUGUAGCUCAGUUGGUAGAGCAUCUGGUUGUGGUCCAGAAGGUCGCGGGUUCAAGCCCCGUCAGCCACC
rnacentral:tRNA from 1 species